UGGGGAAUUUUGGACAAUGGGGGCAACCCUGAUCCAGCCAUGCCGCGUGAGUGAAGAAGGCCUUCGGGUUGUAAAGCUCUUUCGGCGGGGAAGAAAUGGCAACGGCUAAUAUCCGUUGUUGAUGACGGUACCCGCAUAAGAAGCACCGGCUAACUACGUGCCAGCAGCCGCGGUAAUACGUAGGGUGCGAGCGUUAAUCGGAAUUACUGGGCGUAAAGCGCACGUAGGCGGAUCGAUCAGUUAGGGGUGAAAUCCCGGGGCUCAACCCCGGAACUGCCUAUAAUACUGUCGAUCUGGAGUUCGAGAGAGGUGAGUGGAAUUCCGAGUGUAGAGGUGAAAUUCGUAGAUAUUCAGAGGAACACCAGUGGCGAAGGCGGCUCACUGGCUCGAUACUGACGCUGAGGUGCGAAAGCGUGGGGAGCAAACA
rnacentral:rRNA from 1 species